rnacentral:rRNA from 1 species
AUACGAAAGGCGCAAGCGUUGUUCGGAUUUACUGGGCGUAAAGAGAGUGUAGGUGGUUUAUUAAGUCGGAUGUGAAAUCCCGGGGCUCAACCUCGGAACUGCAUUCGAUACUGAUAGGCUAGAGUUUGGGAGGGGUAAGCGGAAUUCCGUGUGUAGCCGUGAAAUGCGUAGAUAUACGGAGGAACACCUGAGGCGAAGGCGGCUUACUGGACCAAUACUGACACUGAGACUCGAAAGCGUGGGUAGCAAACAGGAUUAGAAACCCUUGUAGUCC